rnacentral:tRNA from 1 species
GUCUGAAUGGUCUAGUGGUAUGAUUCUUGCUUAGGGUCGACUAGAACAUGCAAGAGGUCCCGCGUUCGACUCGCGGUUCAGACC